rnacentral:rRNA from 1 species
AGCAGCCGCGGUAAUUCCAGCUCCAAUAGCGUAUAUUAAAGUUGUUGCAGUUAAAAAGCUCGUAGUUGAAUUUCGGGAUUUGUCAGUUGGUCGGGCUUCACUGUCCGUAUUGACUUGAUGGAUUCUUACCUUCUGAAUAACCAGCAUGCUAUUAAGUUAGUGCGUUGGGGAAGCAGAUCUAUUACCUUGAAAAAAUUAGAGUGCUUAAAGCGAGCUAGUGCUUGAAUAGAUUAGCAUGGAAUAAUAAAAUAGGACGGCAUGGUUCUAUUUUGUUGGUU